rnacentral:rRNA from 1 species
GUCGAGCGGCAGCGCGGGGCAACCUGGCGGCGAGCGGCGAACGGGUGAGUAAUAGAUAGGAACGUAUCCGGGAGUGGGGGAUAACUAGCCGAAAGGUUAGCUAAUACCGCAUAUUCUCCGAGGAGGAAAGCGGGGGACUCGAAAGGGCCUCGCGCUCGCGGAGUGGCCUAUCUCCGAUUAGCUAGUUGGUGAGGUAAAGGCUCACCAAGGCGACGAUCGGUAGCUGGUCUGAGAGGAUGAUCAGCCACACUGGGACUGAGACACGGCCCAGACUCCUACGGGAGGCAGCAGUGGGGAAUUUUGGACAAUGGGGGCAACCCUGAUCCAGCCAUGCCGCGUGCGGGAAGAAGGCCUUCGGGUUGUAAACCGCUUUUAUUCGGAAAGAAGGAGUGGAGGUUAAUACCUUCCAUGACAGACGGUACCGGAUGAAUAAGCACCGGCUAACUACGUGCCAGCAGCCGCGGUAAUACGUAGGGUGCGAGCGUUAAUCGGAAUUACUGGGCGUAAAGCGUGCGCAGGCGGUUCUGAAAGUCAGCUGUGAAAGCCCCGGGCUUAACCUGGGAAUGGCGGUUGAAACUACAGGACUAGAAUCUGGCAGAGGGGGGUGGAAUUCCACGUGUAGCAGUGAAAUGCGUAGAGAUGUGGAGGAACACCGAUGGCGAAGGCAGCCCCCUGGGCUGAGAUUGACGCUCAGGCACGAAAGCGUGGGGAGCAAACAGGAUUAGAUACCC